GGUGGUGAACGCGUGAGGGUAGAGAAAAGUCAGCAGGCAAUACAACUCGCGCAGGUUGU
rnacentral:SRP_RNA from 11 species